CUCGUAGGCGGUUCGUCGCGUCCGGUGUGAAAGUCCAUCGCUUAACGGUGGAUCCGCGCCGGGUACGGGCGGGCUUGAGUUCGAGAGAGGUGAGUGGAAUUCCGAGUGUAGAGGUGAAAUUCGUAGAUAUUCGGAGGAACACCAGUGGCGAAGGCGGCUCACUGGCUCGAUACUGACGCUGAGGUGCGAAAGCGUGGGGAGGCAAAACA
rnacentral:rRNA from 1 species